AAACAAAAAAAUGUCGCUGAAUAAAACCAAAAGGAAAUUUUUGAUAAAAUAAAAGGGCUUUUUGGCUGCUUAACCUAGGUUCACAAAACUGAUAAUUAUAUCCACUUCGAUUGUUCACCGUCUUAUUCGUCUACUUGAUGUUCUUCAGCGAAACUUUGGAUUGGAAUUGUUUUAUGAGAGAUGUACACAUCAACUACAGUAUCACGGUGUUGGCAAAUACUUACAGGAGAAUAUUAUGGAUCAUAUUUUUUUCUGGUUGGUAGAUAGAAGGAGAAUGGUAGAUAAAAGGAUGGCAAGAAGGGCAUAGAUUGAAUUUUUUGGACUGAUUUUUGGCAAAUAAAUUAAAUACUAGAUAGCUUUUAGAUUGCUUGAACCAUUAGUUUUUCGAGAUUCAUUAGUUUUCUAAUUGAUGUAUUUAUAAAUUAACACUUGUUUUUGUUAUUAGAAUGAUUGUUAUGGAUAUUUUAUUUUAAUAAUAAGUAGAACUUUAUUUCAAAUAAA